rnacentral:piRNA from 1 species
UCAAAUGUCUGGUUUCUCUCCUCUG